rnacentral:rRNA from 1 species
GACGAACGCUGGCGGCGGGCCUAACACAUGCAAGUCGAACGGAAAGACCCUGCUGUUGUGUUGUGCCCGAGGGGCGAACGGGUGAGUAACACGCGAGUAACCUGCCCUAGACUUUGGGAUAACUUCAGUAAACUGGAGCUAAUACCGGAUAAGAGCCCCCGCUUCAUGGUGGGAGUUAGAAAGUUGCGGCGGUUGGGGAUGGACUCGCGGCUUAUUUGCUUGUUGGUGAGGUAGCGGCUUAACAAGGCUUUGGGGGGUAGCCGCCCUGAGAGGGUGACCGGGAACAUGGGGAGUGAGCUACGGCAGAGACUCGUAAGGAAGGCAGCACUGGGGAAGAUUGAACAAUGGGCGGAUGCCUGGUGCAGCAACGCCGAGUGCGGGAUGACGGCCUUCGGUUAGUAAACCGCUUUCGCCUGUGAGGAAGGGAGCGUGACGGUAAUGGGUAAAGAAGCACCGGCUAACUACGUG